AAUGAACGCUGGCGGCGUGGAUUAGGCAUGCAAGUCGCGCGAUUUCCUUCGGGGAAGAGCGGCGGAAGGGAGAGUAACGCGUAGAUACCUACCCUCGGGACCGGAAUAGCGACGGGAAACUGUCGGUAAUGCCGGAUAACGUCCCUGGACCAAAGGUGUGAAUCCGCCUGAGGAGGGGUCUGCGUCCUAUUAGCUAGUUGGCGGGGUAACGGCCCACCAAGGCGAAGAUGGGUACCGGGCGUGAGAGCGUGACCCGGCUCACUGGGACUGAGACACUGCCCAGACACCUACGGGUGGCUGCAGUCGAGAAUCUUCGGCAAUGAGCGCAAGCUUGACCGAGCGACGCCGCGUGCGGGAUGAAGGCUUUCGGGUUGUAAACCGCUGUCAGUGGGGAGGAAAUUCUUGGGGGUACUCCCCCUUGAUUGACCGAUCCGCAGAGGAAGGACGGGCUAAGUUCGUGCCAGCCGCCGCAGUAAAAC
rnacentral:rRNA from 1 species